GGGAGGAGCGUGCGGUUUAAUUGGAUUCAACGCCGAAAAACUCACCAGCAGCGACUGUUACAUGAAAGUCAGGUUGAUGACCUUACUAGAUUUUCAGAGAGGUGGUGCAUGGCCGUCGUCAGUUCGUACCGUAAGGCGUUCUCUUAAGUGAGAUAACGAACAAGACCCUCACCAAUAGUUGCUACCGUAUCCCCCGGGGUACGAGCACACUAUCGGGACCGCUGGCGCUAAGUCAGAGGAAGGAGAGGUCAACGGUAGGUCAGUAUGCCCCGAAUCUGCUGGGCUACACGCGCGCUACAAAGGGCGGGACAAUGGGCUCCGACGCCGAAAGGCGAAGGUAAUCUCGAAACCCGUCCGUAGUUCGGAUUGAGGGUUGUAACUCACCCUCAUGAAGCUGGAUUCCGUAGUAAUCGCGAGUCAACAACUCGCGGUGAAUAUGCCCCUGCUCCUUGCACACACCGCCCGUCAAACCACCCGAGUUGGGUUUCAGUAAGGAUAUCUCUCAUUGGGGUCUUCGAACUGAGAUUCAGCAAGGAGGGUUAAGUCGUAACAAGGUAUCUGU
rnacentral:rRNA from 1 species